AUAUUUCUCAUUUAAAAAGAAGGCUCUUGAUCCUUCUACCAAGUGAACCGCCCAACUGGUCACUGAUAUCAAGCUCAAGUUAAUCAAACUACAGCCACCAGGACAAGAAGAAGACAACAUCUGGGGUAGACUGCUUUCUCCCAAGAUACCAGAGCAGGCCUGUAGAAACAGAACACUUAGUAACACUUCUCUCUGCAGAAUAUACCAAAGAAAGCUUAAGAGUCUCCUCUAUGGCUCCCCAAAUCUGCCGGUUGGAUCACACCACUCUGUCAUUACCUAAGACAGGCUGGAUUAGAAUUCCAAUUUCCAGAUAUUUUCAGCCGGCUUCUUCUGGCUGCUUUAACAGAUAUCUGCAUGAGACCCUCACCAGGAUCGUGCUGACCCAAGACCUUGAGACUUUAGACUCAUUCCAGCUGGAAACGGAAGCCAGCUUAAGCCAAGAGAUGUUAAUUCAUAUUUAACAGGUGCCUGAGUGCCUCUCAUAAGUAAAUGGCUCUAGUUGCUCAGUUGAUCACUGCCUUGUCAAAGGAUCUCUGCACGGGACUAGAAGAAUCUGGAACAGGUUGCCAGCCACUCUAGCACGAUGAUGGGAUGCAACCAACCUAAUCAAUCAUCAGUGCUGUCUGCUGACAGGUUUUGAUAAACGGGGGGCGUGGGGGGAAUGUGAACCUUGAAAGAGCCAAUCCCUCGGAUGAAUCCUGAGUGGCUAAUAGCCUAAUUUCAAAAGAGCCAAGUGGCCAUUUGCUUACUAGAGGUCGCACACAUACUUGGAGUUCCUGGAAAA
rnacentral:lncRNA from 10 species